rnacentral:rRNA from 1 species
GAUGAACGCUGGCGGCGUGCCUAAUACAUGCAAGUAGAACGCUGAAGGAGGAGCUUGCUCUUCUGGUUGAGUUGCGAACGGGUGAGUAACGCGUAGGUAACCUGCCUGUUAGCGGGGGAUAACUAUUGGAAACGAUAGCUAAUACCGCAUAACAACAGUUAUUGCAUGAUAACUGUUUAAAAGGGUCAACUGCUCCACUACCAGAUGGACCUGCGUUGUAUUAGCUAGUUGGUGCGGUAUCGCCACACCAUGGCGGCGAUACAUAGCCGACCGGAGAGGGGGAGCAGCCACACUGGGACGGAGACACGCCACAGAGUGCUACAGGAAGCAGCAGUAGGGCAUCGGGGGCAAUCGGCGGAAGUCUGACCGAGAAGCGCCGAGUGAGUGAAGAAGGUCUUCGGAUCGUAAAGGUCUGUUGUAAGAGAAGAACGAGCGUGAGAGUGGAAAGUUCACACUGUGACGGUAUCUUACAAGAAAGGGACGGCUAACUACGUG